AACGAACGCUGGCGGCAUGCCUAACACAUGCAAGUCGAACGAAACCUUCGGGUCUAGUGGCGCACGGGUGCGUAACGCGUGGGAACCUGCCCUUAGGUUCGGAAUCACUCCCCGAAAGGGGUGCUAAUACCGGAUAAUGUCUUCGGACCAAAGAUUUCUCGCCUUUGGAUGGGCCCGCGUUGGAUUCGCUAGUUGGUAGGGUAAAAGCCUACCAAGGCGACGAUCCAUAGCUGGUCUGAGAGGAUGAUCAGCCACACUGGGACUGAGACACGGCCCAGACUCCGACGGGAGGGAGCAGUGGGGAAUAUUGGACAAUGGGCGAAAGCGUGAUCCAGCAAUGCGGCGUGAGAGAUGAAGGCCGUAGGGUUGUAAAGCUCUUUUACCCGGGAUGAUAAUGACAGUACCGGGAGAAUAAGCACCGGCUAACUCCGUG
rnacentral:rRNA from 1 species